AGAUUAAGUUAUUAAGGGCGCACGGUGGAUGCCUUGGCACUAGAAGCCGAUGAAGGACGUUACUAACGACGAUAUGCUUUGGGGAGCUGUAAGUAAGCUUUGAUCCAGAGAUUUCCGAAUGGGGGAACCCAGCACGAGUUAUGUCGUGUUAUCCGCAUAUGAAUUCAUAGUAUGUGAGAAGGUAGACCCGGAGAACUGAAACAUCUUAGUACCCGGAGGAAGAGAAAGAAAAAUCGAUUCCCUGAGUAGCGGCGAGCGAAACGGGAAGAGCCCAAACCAACAAGCUUGCUUGUUGGGGUUGUAGGACACUCUAUACGGAGUUACAAAAGUAUUUGUUAGACGAAUAACCUGGAAAGGUUAAUCAGAGAAGGUAAUAAUCCUGUAGUCGAAAACGAAUACCCUCUUGAGUGGAUCCUGAGUACGACGGAGCACGUGAAAUUCCGUCGGAAUCUAGGAGGACCAUCUCCUAAGGCUAAAUACUCUCUAGUGACCGAUAGUGAACCAGUACCGUGAGGGAAAGGUGAAAAGUACCCCGGAAGGGGAGUGAAAGAGAACUUGAAACCGUGUGCUUACAAGUAGUCAGAGCCCGUUAAUGGGUGAUGGCGUGCCUUUUGUAGAAUGAACCGGCGAGUUACGAUCUGAUGCAAGGUUAAGCAGAAAAUGUGGAGCCGUAGCGAAAGCGAGUCUGAAUAGGGCGAAUGAGUAUUUGGUCGUAGACCCGAAACCAGGUGAUCUACCCUUGGUCAGGUUGAAGUUCAGGUAACACUGAAUGGAGGACCGAACCGACUUACGUUGAAAAGUGAGCGGAUGAACUGAGGGUAGCGGAGAAAUUCCAAUCGAACUUGGAGAUAGCUGGUUCUCUCCGAAAUAGCUUUAGGGCUAGCCUCAAGUGAUGAUUAUUGGAGGUAGAGCACUGUUUGGACGAGGGGCCCCUCUCGGGUUACCGAAUUCAGACAAACUCCGAAUGCCAAAUAAUUUAACUUGGGAGUCAGAACGUGGGUGAUAAGGUCCAUGUUCGAAAGGGAAACAGCCCAGACCACCAGCUAAGGUCCCAAAAUAUAUGUUAAGUGGAAAAGGAUGUGGCGUUGCCCAGACAACUAGGAUGUUGGCUUAGAAGCAGCCAUCAUUUAAAGAGUGCGUAAUAGCUCACUAGUCGAGUGACACUGCGCCGAAAAUGUACCGGGGCUAAACAUAUUACCGAAGCUGUGGAUUGUCCGUAGGACAAUGGUAGGAGAGCGUUCUAAGGGCGUUGAAGCAUGAUCGCAAGGACAUGUGGAGCGCUUAGAAGUGAGAAUGCCGGUGUGAGUAGCGAAAGACGGGUGAGAAUCCCGUCCACCGAUUGACUAAGGUUUCCAGAGGAAGGC
rnacentral:rRNA from 1 species